CAAGACCUGCGCUUUUAGAGCGGCCGAUGCCUGAUUAGCUUGUUGGUAAGGUAAAGGCUUACCAAGGCUUCGAUCAGUAGCUGGUCUGAGAGGACGACCAGCCACACUGGGACUGAGACACGGCCCAGACUCCUACGGGAGGCAGCAGUGGGGAAUUUUGGACAAUGGGGGCAACCCUGAUCCAGCCAUGCCGCGUGAGUGAAGAAGGCCUUCGGGUUGUAAAGCUCUUUCAGCCGGAACGAAACGGUUACGGUUAAUACCCGUGACUAAUGACGGUACCGGAAGAAGAAGCACCGGCUAACUACGUGCCAGCAGCCGCGGUAAUACGUAGGGUGCGAGCGUUAAUCGGAAUUACUGGGCGUAAAGCGUGCGCAGGUGGUUUUGUAAGUCAGAUGUGAAAGCCCCGGGCUCAACCUGGGAACU
rnacentral:rRNA from 1 species